rnacentral:rRNA from 1 species
ACGGGAGGCAGCAGUGGGGAAUAUUGGGCAAUGGGCGAAAGCCUGACCCAGCAACGCCGCGUGAAGGAAGAAGGCCUUCGGGUUGUAAACUUCUUUUACCAGGGACGAAGGACGUGACGGUACCUGGAGAAAAAGCAACGGCUAACUACGUGCCAGCAGCCGCGGUAAUACGUAGGUUGCAAGCGUUGUCCGGAUUUACUGGGUGUAAAGGGCGUGUAGGCGGAGCUGCAAGUCAGAUGUGAAAUCCCGGGGCUCAACCCCGGAACUGCAUUUGAAACUGUGUCUCUUGAGUGCUGGAGAGGUAGAUGGAAUUCCUAGUGUAGCGGUGAAAUGCGUAGAUAUUAGGAAGAACACCAGUGGCGAAGGCGAUCUACUGGACAGUAACUGACGCUGAGGCGCGAAAGCGUGGGGAGCAAACAGGAUUAGAUACCCUGGUA